UACGGAGGGUGCAAGCGUUGUUCGGAAUCACUGGGCGUAAAGGGCGUGUAGGCGGCCUGUUAAGUCUGAUGUGAAAUCCCCUCGCUCAACGAGGGAACUGCGUCGGAAACUGGCAGGCUCGAGUACCGGAGAGGAAGGUGGAAUUCCCGGUGUAGCGGUGAAAUGCAUAGAUAUGUCACAGAACACCAAUUGCGAAGGCAGCUUACUAUGGUAUGAUUGACGCUGAGGCACGAAAGCGUGGGGAUCAAACAGG
rnacentral:rRNA from 1 species